UACGUAGGCAGCAAGCGUUGUUCGGAGUUACUGGGCGUAAAGGGUGUGUAGGCGGCCUUCUAAGUUUGGUGUGAAAUCUCCCGGCUCAACCGGGAGGGUGCGCCGAAGACUGGGGGGCUAGAGUAUGGGAUGGGAAAGUGGAAUUCCUGGUGUAGCGGUGAAAUGCGUAGAUAUCAGGAGGAACACCUGCGGUGUAGACGGCUUUCUGGACCAUAACUGACGCUGAAACACGAAAGCGUGGGUAGCAAACAGG
rnacentral:rRNA from 1 species